rnacentral:misc_RNA from 1 species
AAACGUUUGGAACAACAGCUCGCAGGGCGUAGAACCGGUGGUUGAGCUUCUCCCGCCGCUGCCGCUCCGCCUCUACAUGGUUCAAUGGCGUGUCUCGGCCUAACGCUGGUUUUCUCCCUCUUUUCUUCGGGGUUCUUUUCUCUAUAGUCGUAGCAGCAACUAAAAGACAGUCUGAGUCAGAAUGCUCCGAGUCUACGUAUGAGAGGCCCGCUGUAGCACUCUCUUUCUUUGCCUCAUCUUCUUGUGCGAACUUCUCCUCAGGGGCUGCAUCUCCCCCUUGUAUUCCUGCAAUUAUGCCUAUAUCAGCGAAAGAAAUGUUCAUGUCGAGUAACUGGUUGGGUAUUGUGGUUGGAUUGGAAUUUUUGGGCAUCAGACCGGCGAGAUCUGACCCAAAGAGAGACUUGGCUU